rnacentral:rRNA from 1 species
CACGUAGGGGGCAAGCGUUGUCCGGAAUCAUUGGGCGUAAAGAGCUCGUAGGCGGCUCAGUAAGUCGGGUGUGAAACCCUCAGGCUCAACCUGGGGACGCCACCCGAUACUGCUGUGGCUAGAGUCCAGUAGGGGAGUGUGGAAUUCCCGGUGUGAGCGGUGAAAUGCGCAGAUAUCAGGAGGAACACCAAUUGCGAAGGCAGCUCACUACUCAAUCAUUGACUCUGAGGCACGAAAGCGUGGGGAUCAAACAGG